AAAACUAGUCAGUCUUUUGGGUGUGAAACCCAUUUGGGCGAGAGUAGUACUAGGAUAGGUGACCUCCUGGGAAGUCCUCGUGAAAGGGUUUC
rfam:Triticum aestivum genome assembly, contig: Triticum_aestivum_CS42_TGACv1_scaffold_146192_2BS